UUUGGUGGCUGAGACAGAAGAAGUGCACUCCCGAUUCAUUCGUUCCGUUGACGACAAUACAACAACUACAACUACAGAUCCUGUAACGACAACAACAGCACUGUCUACGUCAACAGCUGUAGAAAAUUCAACUGUUGAGCCUUCAACAACAGUCACAACAACGAUGACGACGACGACUACAACAGAAGAGUCAACCACAAAAGCACCAACAACUACCCCUACUGUCACAACCUCGACUACAAUUAUAACUACCACAACAGCAGCCACAACUAAAGCACGUACACAAAUCAUUUUUCGUUUAGCGCUGCUUGGAAAUAAAUUUGCAUUAUUUUAAGCCACUGCAACAACUACUACGAUGACAACAACAGCAACUAAGGCAGCAACAGUGACAACA